UGCGGUUAAAAAGCUCGUAGUUGGAUUUCAGUCUAGGAAGGUUAACUCGCCGAAAGGUUGUACGUUGAUUUUCCUCAGACUUCGUCAGAAGCUCGUGCUGCACUUAACUGUGUGGUACGAUGUUCUGACCUUUUACCUUGAGGAAAGUAGAGUGUUUCAGGCAGGCUACCCAGCUUGAAUACAUUAGCAUGGAAUAAUGAAAUGGAUCUCGGUUCGAUUUCGUUGGUACUAGAGCUGAGGUGAUGAUCAAUAGGAACAGGCGAAGGUAUUCGUACUUGAGAGUGAGGAGUGAAAUCCGAUGAUCUCUUAAAGACGAUCCGAGGCGAAAGCAUUUGUCAAGGAUGUUUUCAUUGAUCAAGAACGAAAGUUAGGGGAUCGAAGACGAUUAGAUACCGUCCUAGUCCUAACCGUAAACAAUGCCGACUAGAGAUUAGACGCUGUCAGUGUUACGAUACGUCUAGCAUCUUCAGAGAAAUCAAAGUCUUUGGGCUCUGGGGGGAGUAUGGUCGCAAGGCUGAAACUUAAAGGAAUUGACGGAAGGACACCACCAGGAGUGGAGCCUGCGGCUUAAUUUGACUCAACACGAGAAAUCUUAUCAGGUCCACACAUUAGUAGGAUUGACAGUGUACGCUAGACCUUUCUUGAUUCUAUGGGCGGUGGUGCAUAGUCGU
rnacentral:rRNA from 1 species